GGGUCAAUGAUGACUACAGAAAGUCAAGAACAGGAUGAUGACAUAAAAAUCAUGCUCAAUAGGAUUACGCUGAGGCCC
ensembl:snoRNA LOC120100259 small nucleolar RNA SNORD115